UGAAUGUCUUGAUGAAUUGCUGUGUAAUC
rnacentral:sRNA from 1 species